GGCCUGAUAGCACAGUUGGUUAGUGCAUCUGCUUCAGUUUGUCGGAGCAGUCUCGAAAUUGUUUAGGCAGGGGAGCUCCGUUCGAUUCGGGGUCAGGUCU